rnacentral:rRNA from 1 species
UAACAAGGAUUCCCCUAGUAACUGCGAGUGAAGCGGGAAAAGCUCAAAUUUAAAAUCUGGCGGUCUCUGUGGCCGUCCGAGUUGUAAUUUAGAGAAGCGUUUUCCGCGCCGGUCCGUGUACAAGUCUCCUGGAACGGAGCGUCGUAGAGGGUGAGAAUCCCGUCUUUGACACGGACAGCCGGUGCUAUGUGAUACGCUCUCGAAGAGUCGAGUUGUUUGGGAAUGCAGCUCAAAACGGGUGGUGAACUCCAUCUAAAGCUAAAUAUUGGCGAGAGACCGAUAGCGAACAAGUACCGUGAGGGAAAGAUGAAAAGCACUUUGGAAAGAGAGUGAAACAGUACGUGAAAUUGCUGAAAGGGAAACGCUUGAAGUCAGUCGCGUCCGCCGGGACUCAGCCCUCGUGGUGUACUUUCCGGCGGACGGGCCAGCAUCACUUUCGGUCGUCGGAUAAGGGCGGGGGAAAUGUGGCACCCUUCGGGGUGUGUUAUAGUCCCCCGUCGUAUACGUCGGCCGGGAGUGAGGACCGCCUUUGUUGCAGGAUGCUGGCGUAAUGGCUUUAAACGAC